rnacentral:tRNA from 1 species
AGUAAAAUGCCUGAUAAAAAGGACUAUUUUGAUAGAAUAGGUUAUGUAGUUUUCUUCUUUUACUA